GAAAAGAAAUAAGUUAGACUUAUUUCAGAGUUUUAAAUUCUGCUCUUUAGAAUACAGCUUUAAGAGAAUGAAACAACGUAACACAAUUUGGAAAACCAGGACUUGUACUUGAAUCUCUUCAUACUGAUAGUGAAAUCCCCAGGGUAUCAAGUUAAGUUAAAAAAUGAGGGCUCCAGGAGAAAUCACAGGAGGGUUCUCAAUCUCUGUCUGUCUCCUUUUUUAAAAUCUCAGAGUGGAGGAAGUCUUCCUGACUAUUCCCCCAACAUCAGGUGCCAUUACAGACAGACAGAUUAGACUUCAUUUUUGCAUGGCCAAAACACAAAACAGAAUCAUCAAAACCAAACUAGUAAAAUAACCAACCAACAUACAAUUGUUUGUAAUCCAUAUACUAAAGAGUUAAAUUCUCAUCAUACAUAAAGAGUUUCUGCCACUAAAUAAGGAAAAGAUCACCAACCCAACAGGAAAAUGGGCAAAGAAUAGGUUAAAAAAAAAGCUCCCAGGAAGGGAAAUACAAAUGAUCCUGAACAAAGGCACUUAAACUCACUCAUAACUUAACUAAUUAAAGUAUAAUAAUUAUAAAGUGGAAUUAAUCUAUUUCUCUGGUGGUACCACAGUUUUAAUUAUUGUAGGUUUAUAAUAAUUCUAGUGAAAAAAAUCCUCCCUAGUUAAAGAUUUUAAAAGAAAUUUAGCCAUUCCCAUUUUGGUAAGUGAUGAAAGUAUUAAUAAGAUUUUAGUAUGUUAAAUCAGCAAGGAAAAGAUGGCUUAUGUAAUAAAUAGGACAGGGUCAGUAGCUAACACCUACGUCACUGAGAUCAUCUCCCAGGCUGAUAGUGAGGGGGCUAGUCUGAGCUAGUCUGAUUUGGAAAAUUGGGCCAUAAACACCCUGCCAUGUACUCAACAUCACACACACACACACACCACUUGCCUCUGUCCCCCAUGACCAAAACGGUGCUUGAAGGUGUCUGUGUGGAGUGUGAUUAUAGGUGAUCUGAAUACUUUUCUAUAGCCUCACAUUGUCUACCAUGUGAAUUUAAAUUAAUAAUUUAUCAUCUCCUCUGAUUAUUUCCCUUAGGAUAUAAUACAUAGCCGUUGUUUUAAAAAAAGUUGGAAAAUACAGAAAAGCAGGGAGAAGAUAAAAGCAGGGAGAAAAUAAAAGUCAUCAGUUAUCCCACCCAAAAGGAGAGGAAGUAGCAUCGCUUUGCCUCGGCAGGCUCUUGGGAGGUUCUGAGAGCAAGCAGUUUGCAGAACCCUCAGCUGCCCGAGGACAGGGGCCUGGAUUUCAUCACACUCUGGACCAAGCACAGUGCCUGGCACACAGGAGGCACCAGAAACACAUGUUCACUUGGCUUAGCCCAGUCUCUCUAUUUUCAGUAGAAAAACCAAUCAACGCUUCCUGGGAGAAAUACUGAAGUUUUUGGAAACAAUUAAGCAGCAUUCAGCAAACAGCUAGGGCUGCGAACUACUAUGCACGCUACUUGAAGGUGGGACAGAUAGUGACCAAGGAGGCGGUUGGUUGAAUAGCAGCUCCGGGCGGGCGCAGAGACCCAAAUUAACUUCUGCUCACUUGUCACAGUGUGCAACUGGCUGGCUAAUAGAAGCAGCGCCAGGCCAGAUGCCCCCUUGCUGCUCUCUGACCCGGGGCAAGGGUGAACCCGAGGUCACACAGCCUCAAAGAAGCAGCCUGGGCCUGGUGGCACUCGGAUUUGGAUUUGGAUCCAGGAUGCACCUCACAGUGACCGCGAGGACCAUAAUGACGUCCAUCUGAAGCAGACAAAUAGGUACCUGGCAUGUGGUAGACACUCCUGAAAUUCACCUUCGGAUUUUUGUGGAACAUUACAUUAAAUGCUGUGUUAUGUGGAAAGAAACAGCCACGUGGAAGGCACCCAGUAGGAGGAAAUUCUCCUCCUUUUCAAGGUAAAUGUAAAAUGUUCGUUUUAAAACAAAAUUCUGCCUAGGUCUAGGCCUUGUCCCUUCUGGCUAUCAGGCAUCCUUUGACCCUGGGUCACUGAAGGCCCCCGAAGACCUGCUUUUCCCCCUCUCUCCCAUCCUCCACUUCCUGGUUUCUCUUCCCUGGCUCUGCUCCUUGCCUCCCACCACCAGCCCAACCCGCAAUGGCUGAGACCCCACGGGAGCAGAAGGCACUCAGGAGUCUGAGCACCUCUGUCUUGGGGACCUUACCUGUGCACUGAGCGGACACAGGCCCAGAAACUGACCUGCCUGGCCUUUCAGCUAGUCAUCCCCUCACCCCAGCCACACCACCACACUCUGCCUCCCUGAACCCUGCCCACUGGGGAGCACAUCUACACCCAGGAGAAAUGCAGCCCUGGGGUGGGAUGCUGCUGAGAGGCUUCCUUACCUGCUGCAGCCUGAUUUCUUGAUUGAAAAUGAAGAUCUCUUGUCUACUUCAGUCAGUCUUCCCCACAGCUGUGAGGCAGAGGGCUCUGCUCAUGAACCCUGGGACCUCCUAGUGGCUUCUCCCCUGCUUUGGAUACAAUCAGAGUUCUCCCCGGCAACAGCGACACACACACACUGUCACCUUUUGAACCCCGACCCCUCCCUCCCAGUAUCAGAGAGCCUGCCCUGAAAUACGCCCCCUCAUAGAGUAACAGCGAUCCUGCCCCAAACACCACCCCAAGUAGCAUAGAUCCUGCCCUGAAAUACCCCCGCCCUCCACCAGCCUGAGAGCAUUCCCCCCGCCCAGGUCCAGCUGCACACCAGUCCCACCCGGAAGCCUUCUGAGAUUCCGGCAUUAAUGCCAAUCCAGUGUGGCCACCUGUGCUCUGUGUCCUUGGCCCUAACUUUCUGGAUGGAGAAAAGGCCUUUUUCACUUGCUCUCCAUUGUUGAGGGAUGACGUAUUUAAACUCCUUUAAAAAUCAAAAUGGAGGAACUGUAGUUCAGGCAUCCAAAAUGGAGCCUGGUGGCCAUUGUGGAUGUGGCUUCAGACAUCUUCCUGCAUCAGCUCCUGACUUUUCUGAACUAUAUCAAGCUCAAGGAAAUCACCAGCUGCAAACUUACAGUCUCAAGGUAUCCCCUUGUAACUGUGUAACCGUUUUGGGCCCCAACUAACCCCUGCUUAACAAGCGUCCUUACUUGUUGUCAGUUCUAAUCCUAAUUCUUGACAAAAAACUUAUGUAACUUUGUGGGUUUUGUGUAUAUAAGCCUCCUCCACUUUGUGGGUGGAACACAAUUCAGGUGCUUCUUGAACCUGUCUCCUAGGCUGUAGUCCUCACUUUGGCUCAAAUGAAACUCUCUUCUGUCCCUUAUUGUGGAUUGUUUAUUGAUUAUUUGCAGCAACACUAGUUUCCAUUCAUUUCAUGUGACAACGGGCAGGGGGUCCCAGACUCCUGUUACUUGUUUGGUGUGAAUGCUUCCAGAUCCUUUGCUAGAUGUCUACACACCUACAGAUACUCCCUUGGAAAAUAAAGUUUUCUGAGUUUUUGGAGGAAAAAAC